GCCAGUGUGGCGUCGUGGCUUGAGUGCUGGCCUGUGAUUCUGGAGACCAGGGUUUGAUUCCCAGCUAUGCCA